GACGAACGCUGGCGGCGUGCUUAACACAUGCAAGUCGAACGGAAAGGCCCUGCUUUUGUGGGGUGCUCGAGUGGCGAACGGGUGAGUAACACGUGAGUAACCUGCCCUUGACUUUGGGAUAACUUCAGGAAACUGGGGCUAAUACCGGAUAGGAGCUCCUGCUGCAUGGUGGGGGUUGGAAAGUUUCGGCGGUUGGGGAUGGACUCGCGGCUUAUCAGCUUGUUGGUGGGGUAGUGGCUUACCAAGGCUUUGACGGGUAGCCGGCCUGAGAGGGUGACCGGCCACAUUGGGACUGAGAUACGGCCCAGACUCCUACGGGAGGCAGCAGUGGGGAAUAUUGCACUAUGGGCGGAAGCCUGAUGCAGCAACGCCGCGUGCGGUAUGACGGCCUUCGGGUUGUAAACCGCUUUCGCCUGUGACGAAGCGUGAGUGACGGUAAUGGGUAAAGAAGCACCGGCUAACUACGUG
rnacentral:rRNA from 1 species